GUGCCAGCAGCCGCGGUAAUACGUAGGUGGCAAGCGUUAUCCGGAAUUAUUGGGCGUAAAGCGCGCGUAGGCGGUUUUUUAAGUCUGAUGUGAAAGCCCACGGCUCAACCGUGGAGGGUCAUUGGAAACUGGAGAACUUGAGUGCAGAAGAGGAAAGUGGAAUUCCAUGUGUAGCGGUGAAAUGCGCAGAGAUAUGGAGGAACACCAGUGGCGAAGGCGACUUUCUGGUCUGUAACUGACGCUGAUGUGCGAAAGCGUGGGGAUCAAACAGGAUUAG
rnacentral:rRNA from 1 species